rnacentral:rRNA from 1 species
UACAGAGGUGGCAAGCGUUGUUCGGAAUUACUGGGCGUAAAGGGCUCGUAGGUGGCCAACUAAGUCAGACGUGAAAUCCCUCAGCUUAACUGGGGAACUGCGUCUGAUACUGGAUGGCUUGAGUUUGGGAGAGGGACGCGGAAUUCCAGGUGUAGCGGUGAAAUGCGUAGAUAUCUGGAGGAACACCGGUGGCGAAGGCGGCGUCCUGGACCAACACUGACACUGAUGAGCGAAAGCCAGGGGAGCAAACGGG